rfam:Neurospora crassa OR74A unplaced genomic scaffold supercont12.9, whole genome shotgun sequence.
UACCUAAUUAAUUUUAUUAAUAGUUAUAUAUUUAUUUUAAAGAUUAAGUUAUAUAUAUUUAAAUUUAAGUAAUUAAAUUAUAAAAUUGUAAAUAGCUUAUUAAAUUAAUUAUAAUUUAUUUAAUAGUACUUUAUUAUAUAGAUAACCGUAGUAAUUCUAGAGUUAAUAUAUAUUAAAAACCCUGACUUUGGAAGGGGUAUAUUUAUUAAAUUAAAAACUAAUACCCUUUGGGGCUAAUUAGUAAUUUAUAAUAACUUUUCGAAUUGUAUAGCCUUAUAUUAGCGAUAGUUUAUUUAAAUUUCUACUUUAUUAAUUUUCGAUGGUUAAAUUUUAAUUAAUUAUAAUAAUAAUGGGUAAUAGAGGAUUAGGGUUUAACCUUGGAGAAGGAGUUUAAGAAAUAGUUAUUAUAUUUAAGGAAAGUAGUAGGCGUGUAAAUUACCUAAUCUUGAUAUAGGGAGGUAGUAAUAAUAAAUAUUAAUAUAAGGCUCUUUUAGGUCUUAUAAUUGGAAUAAGUAUAAUUUAAAUCCUUUAAUAAAGAAUAAUUGGAGGGUAAGUUUAGUGUUAGUAGCCGCGGUAAUUCUAAUUCUAAUAGCGUAUAUUAAAAUUAUUAAAAUUAAAAAGUUCGUAGUUAAACCUUGGGUUCGGUCCGUUGGUCCGCUUUACUAUAUAUAUUAACUAGGUCGGGCCUUUUUUCCUAGAGAACUGUAUACCCUUUACUAAGUAUAUUGGGGAAUUAGGAUUUUUACUAUAAAUAAAUUAAAUUGUUUAAAGAAGGCCUAUAUUCGAAUGUACUAGUAUAGAAUAAUAGAAUAGGACGUAUAAUUCUAUUUUAUUAGUUUCUAAAACUAUUAUAAUAAUUAAUAGGGAUAGUCGGGGGUAUUAAUAUUCAAUUAUUAAAGGUGAAAUUCUUAAAUUUAUUAAAGAUUAACUACUAUAAAAAUAUUUACUAAGGAUGUUUUUAUUAAUUAGGAACGAAAGUUAGAGGAUCGAAGAUAAUUAAAUACUAUUGUAGUCUUAACUAUAAACUAUGCCGAUUAGGGAUCGGAUAGUAUUAUUUUUUAACUUAUUCGGCACCUUAUAAUAAAUUAAAAUGUUUAGGCUCCUAGGGGAGUAUAAUUGUAAGGCUAAAACUUAAAGAAAUUAAUGGAAAGGUACUACUAGGGGUAAAGUUUGCGGCUUAAUUUAAUUUAAUACGGAGAAACUUACUAGGUUUAAAUAUAAUAAGGAUUAAUAAAUUGAAAGCUCUUUCUUAAUUUUGUAAGUAGUAGUAUAUAGCCGUUCUUAGUUAAUAGAGUAAUUUAUUUACUUAAUUACAAUAACAAAUAAGACCUUAACUUAUUAAAUAAUUUGUAUUAUUUUAAUAAUAUACUAGCUUCUUAAAAGGACUAUUAGCUUAAACUAAUAGAAGUUUAAAGUAAUAAUAAAUCUAUAAUGCCCUUAAAUAUUCUAGGCCGUAUAUACGCUAUAUUAAUACAAUUAGCGAAUAUUCCCUUAGCCGGAAGGUCCGGGUAAUCUUAUUAAAUUAUAUUAUACUAGGGAUAGAGUAUUAUAAUUAUUACUCUUCAAUAAGGAAUCCCUAGUAAAUAUAAAUUAUUAAUUUAUAUUAAUUAUAUCCCUACCCUUUAUAUAUACCGUCCGUUGCUAUUACUAAUUAAAUAGCUUAAUAAGACUUCCGGACUAGCCUAGGGAAGUCGGUAACGACUAUUUAAGGCCGGAAAGCUAUCUAAAUUCGGUUAUUUAGAGGAAGUAAAAGUUGUAAUAAAAUCUCUAUUAAUAAACCAGCGGAGGGAUUAUUA